GACGAACGCUGGCGGCGUGCUUAACACAUGCAAGUCGAACGGAAAGGCCCUGCUUUUGUGGGGUGCUCGAGUGGCGAACGGGUGAGUAACACGUGAGUAACCUGCCCUUGACUUUGGGAUAACUUCAGGAAACUGGGGCUAAUACCGGAUAGGAGCUCCUGCUGCAUGGUGGGGGUUGGAAAGUUUCGGCGGUUGGGGAUGGACUCGCGGCUUAUCAGCUUGUUGGUGGGGUAGUGGCUUACCAAGGCUUUGACGGGUAGCCGGCCUGAGAGGGUGACCGGCCACAUUGGGACUGAGAUACGGCCCAGACUCCUACGGGCGGCAGCAGUGGGGAAUAUUGCACAAUGGGCGGAAGCCUGAUGCAGCAACGCCGCGUGCGGGAUGACGGCCUUCGGGAUGUAAACCGCUUUCGCCUGUGACGAAGCGUGAGUGACGGUAAUGGGUAAAGAAGCACCGGCUAACUACGUGCCAGCAGCCGCGGUGAUACGUAGGGUGCGAGCGUUGUCCGGAUUUAUUGGGCGUAAAGGGCUCGUAGGUGGUUGAUCGCGUCGGAAGUGUAAUCUUGGGGCUUAACCCUGAGCGUGCUUUCGAUACGGGUUGACUUGAGGAAGGUAGGGGAGAAUGGAAUUCCUGGUGGAGCGGUGGAAUGCGCAGAUAUCAGGAGGAACACCAGUGGCGAAGGCGGUUCUCUGGGCCUUUCCUGACGCUGAGGAGCGAAAGCGUGGGGAGCGAACAGGCUUAGAUACCCUGGUAGUCCACGCUGUAAACGGUGGGUACUAGGUGUGGGGUCCAUUCCACGGGUUCCGUGCCGUAGCUAACGCUUUAAGUACCCCGCCUGGGGAGUACGGCCGCAAGGCUAAAACUCAAAGGAAUUGACGGGGCCCCGCACAAGCGGCGGAGCAUGCGGAUUAAUUCGAUGCAACGCGUAGAACCUUACCUGGGUUUGACAUGGAUCGGGAGUGCUCAGAGAUGGGUGUGCCUCUUUUGGGGUCGGUUCACAGGUGGUGCAUGGCUGUCGUCAGCUCGUGUCGUGAGAUGUUGGGUUAAGUCCCGCAACGAGCGCAACCCUUGUUCACUGUUGCCAGCACGUUAUGGUGGGGACUCAGUGGAGACCGCCGGGGUCAACUCGGAGGAAGGUGGGGAUGACGUCAAGUCAUCAUGCCCCUUAUGUCCAGGGCUUCACGCAUGCUACAAUGGCUGGUACAGAGAGUGGCGAGCCUGUGAGGGUGAGCGAAUCUCGGAAAGCCGGUCUCAGUUCGGAUUGGGGUCUGCAACUCGACCUCAUGAAGUCGGAGUCGCUAGUAAUCGCAGAUCAGCAACGCUGCGGUGAAUACGUUCCCGGG
rnacentral:rRNA from 1 species